rnacentral:rRNA from 1 species
GAUGAACGCUGGCGGCGUGCCUAAUACAUGCAAGUCGAGCGAACGGACGAGAAGCUUGCUUCUCUGAUGUUAGCGGCGGACGGGUGAGUAACACGUGGACAACCUACCUAUAAGACUGGGAUAACUUCGGGAAACCGGAGCUAAUACCGGAUAAUAUUUUGAACCGCAUGGUUCAAAAGUGGAAGACGGUCUUGCUGUCACUUAUAGAUGGAUCCGCGCUGCAUUAGCUAGUUGGUAAGGUAACGGCUUACCAAGGCAACGAUGCAUAGCCGACCUGAGAGGGUGAUCGGCCACACUGGAACUGAGACACGGUCCAGACUCCUACGGGAGGCAGCAGUAGGGAAUCUUCCGCAAUGGGCGAAAGCCUGACGGAGCAACGCCGCGUGAGUGAUGAAGGUCUUCGGAUCGUAAAACUCUGUUAUUAGGGAAGAACAUAUGUGUAAGUAACUGUGCACAUCUUGACGGUACCUAAUCAGAAAGCCACGGCUAACUACGUG